GAUGAACGCUGGCGGCGUGCCUAACACAUGCAAGUCGAACGGAGUCCAGCCUUUAAGACCUUCGGGUCAAAGAGGGGAAGACUGAGUGGCGGACGGGUGAGUAACACGUGGGCAACCUGGCUCAUAGAGGGGGAUAACAGAGAGAAAUUUCUGCUAAUACCGCAUAAGCGCACACUGCCGCAUGGCAGAGGGUGAAAAGAGAAUCGCUAUGAGAUGGACCCGCGUCUGAUUAGCCAGUUGGCAGGGUAAGAGCCUACCAAAGCGACGAUCAGUAGCCGAUCUGAGAGGAUGAACGGCCACAUUGGGACUGAGACACGGCCCAAACUCCUACGGGAGGCAGCAGUGGGGGAUAUUGCACAAUGGGGGGAACCCUGAUGCAGCGACGCCGCGUGAGUGAAGAAGUAUUUCGGUAUGUAAAGCUCUAUCAGCAGGGAAGAUAAUGACGGUACCUGAAUAAGAAGCCCCGGCUAACUACGUG
rnacentral:rRNA from 1 species